UACGAAGGGGGCAAGCGUUGUUCGGAAUUACUGGGCGUAAAGGGCGCGUAGGCGGCUUAUCAAGUCAGGCGUGAAAUUCCCGGGCUCAACCUGGGGGCUGCGCUUGAUACUGAUGAGCUUGAAUGCGGGAGAGGAUAGUGGAAUUCCCAGUGUAGAGGUGAAAUUCGUAGAUAUUGGGAAGAACACCGGUGGCGAAGGCGGCUAUCUGGCCCGUAAUUGACGCUGAGGCGCGGAAAGCGUGGGGAGCAAACAGGG
rnacentral:rRNA from 1 species